CACGGCAGGGACCAACAGAUUAUGGAGUACCUGCAGGUGCGAGAAACUUCGGUGGUCCAGACUCACCUUUCCAGAAGUGUGUCUCAGGGUCUCCCAAAUACACCACGUCCACUCUCAACCCCUUAUCUGAGCUACCAGAACGAGG